rnacentral:rRNA from 1 species
AACGAACGCUGGCGGCGUGCCUAACACAUGCAAGUCGAACGAGAAAGGGGCUUCGGCUCCGAGUAAAGUGGCGCACGGGUGAGUAACACGUGGGUAACCUGCCUCUAAGAUUGGGAUAACUCGUCGAAAGAUGAGCUAAUACCGAAUAAGACCACAGUUCCCGCGGGAACAGGGGUCAAAGGUAGCCUCUGCUUGCAAGCUAUCACUUAGAGAUGGGCCUGCGCACCAUUAGCUAGUUGGUAGGGUAACGGCCUACCAAGGCAAAGAUGGUUAGCUGGUCUGAGAGGAUGAUCAGCCACACUGGAACUGAGACACGGUCCAGACUCCUACGGGAGGCAGCAGUGGGGAAUAUUGCGCAAUGGGCGAAAGCUUGACGCAGCAACGCCGCGUGAGUGAUGAAGGCCUUCGGGUCGUAAAGCUCUGUCGGGAGGAACGAAUGCUCCUGAGGUUAACAGCCUCGGGAGGUGACGGUACCUUCAAAGGAAGCACCUGCUAACUCUGUG